rnacentral:lncRNA from 10 species
CUUGAUUUAAAAAUGAUACAACAAGUACCUCGAAUGGGCAUGCUUUCUGCUCUGCGCUGCAAACACAAUUAAGAGGCAUCUCUUCAGCACCAGAUCACCUCAAUAGUAUCUGUGUCAUCCUUGACGUACAUCGUGGCCGGCUUGGAAAAAGAAAAGGUUGGAUGUUUUGUACUCUGCGGCGGGGGCCAAGAUAUUUUUCAGCUGGAGUGCUUCUGCAGUCAAUUGGUAUAAUGGGCUGAACUACAUCCUCCCCAAAUUCCCCCCCAGAGCCCUAACUCCCACUACUUCAAUGUGACUGUAUUUGGAGACAGGACAUUUAAGGGAGUGAAUAUGUUAAAAUGAGGCCAUUAGGGUGGGCCCUAAUCCAAUCUGACUGGAGUCAUAAGAAGAGAAAAUUUGAAUGCACAGAGACAGCAGGGAUGUGUGUGUGCACAGAGGAAAGACCAUGUGAGGACGCAGUGAGAAGGCGGCCGUCUGCAAGCCAAUGAAUGAGGCCUCAGAAGAAAUCCCAUCUGCCAACACCUUGAUCUUGGACUUCCAGUCUCCAGAACUGUGAGAAGAUAAAUUCCUGUUGUGUAAGCCACCCGGUCUGUAGAAUUUUGUUAUGGCAACCUGGGCAAACUAAUACAACUGGGGUGGGAGCGGGAUGUCCCUUUACAGAAAAGACAGCUUUUCAGAAGGUGGGUUCGUCAGGACACCAGGGAAGGGAGCUCAAGUUUAAAGAGAGAAAGCAUUCGGCUGCUCUGUCUUCCCUAAGGUAUGGUUUUUUGGGAUAUGGGUCUAUUUCAUAAACACCUCUCCUGCCUCCUCUGACUCACCCAUCCAUAAUUGUCAGUGGCAA